rnacentral:lncRNA from 1 species
GCAGGAAGUGCAGGGAAUUGGAGCAAAGCACGACAUGAGACGGUAACGAUAAAAACUUACAUUUGGGAUCUCGUCACUGUGAGUUUUGGAAGGUGCAUUGAAUUUAUUUCUAGGGAAAUACAGAAGACUUAAAGGAAGGCUGCUCGGGUAGGUGGUGUUCAGAACACAUGAAGCCCAGACCUUGCAGGAUUUGGACCACAGGAGACAUGCAAGCUACUUGCAUUCAGAAGCAUAGGCAAAAGCUGUGGUGAUG